rnacentral:rRNA from 1 species
UACGUAGGGGGCAAGCGUUGUCCGGAUUCAUUGGGCGUAAAGAGCGUGUAGGCGGCCAGAUAGGUCAGCUGUGAAAACUCGAGGCUCAACCUCGAGACGUCGGUUGAAACCAUCUGGCUAGAGUCCGGAAGAGGAGUGUGGAAUUCCCGGUGUAGCGGUGAAAUGCGCAGAUAUCGGGAAGAACACCCGUGGCGAAGGCGGCUCUCUGGGACGGUACUGACGCUGAGACGCGAAAGCGUGGGGAGCGAACAGG